rnacentral:rRNA from 1 species
AGUGAACGCUGGCGGUAGGCCUAACACAUGCAAGUCGAACGGCAGCACAGGAGAGCUUGCUCUCUGGGUGGCGAGUGGCGGACGGGUGAGGAAUACAUCGGAAUCUACUCUGUCGUGGGGGAUAACGUAGGGAAACUUACGCUAAUACCGCAUACGACCUACGGGUGAAAGCAGGGGACCUUCGGGCCUUGCGCGAUUGAAUGAGCCGAUGUCGGAUUAGCUAGUUGGCGGGGUAAAGGCCCACCAAGGCGACGAUCCGUAGGUGGUCUGGGAGGAUGAUCAGCCACACUGGAACUGAGACACGGUCCAGACUCCUACGGGAGGCAGCAGUGGGGAAUAUUGGACAAUGGGCGCAAGCCUGAUCCAGCCAUACCGCGUGGGUGAAGAAGGCCCUCGGGUUGUAAAGCCCUUUUGUUGGGAAAGAAAUCCAGCUGGCUAAUACCCGGUUGGGAUGACGGUACCCAAAAAAUAAGCACCGGCUAACUUCGUGCCAGCCGCCGCCGUAA